UACAGAGGUCUCAAGCGUUGUUCGGAUUCAUUGGGCGUAAAGGGUGCGUAGGUGGCGCCAUAAGUCAGGUGUGAAAUCUCGGAGCUCAACUCCGAAACUGCACUUGAUACUGUGGUGCUUGAGUACUGGAGAGGAGACUGGAAUUUACGGUGUAGCAGUGAAAUGCGUAGAGAUCGUAAGGAAGACCAGUGGCGAAGGCGGGUCUCUGGACAGUUACUGACACUGAGGCACGAAGGCCAGGGGAGCAAACGGG
rnacentral:rRNA from 1 species